rnacentral:tRNA from 1 species
GCCGACAUCGCAUAAUGGUAUUGCACCAGCCUUGAGAGCUGGGCCCUUACAGGCUUCCCGGUUCGAUUCCGGGUGUCGGCG